rnacentral:tRNA from 1 species
GGAGAAAACAAAGGCGGGCCAUGAAUGUGAAUGGCAUUCAUGAGGUCAGGGGUUCGAUCCCCCUCAGCUCCACCA